UCUCUCUUUUUAUGCUUCAAAAAUUAGCAUGAAAAGGUAAUGUAGUCAAAUGCAUUUAGAUAGAAAUCCACUGAUCAAUACCGGGUUUCUUUGAAAAUCUAGUAUACCUAUGAAAUUGGUGAUCAUGCAAAACAACCGAGUUAAUACUAAUAGGAAGCAAGAGUUUAAGAUUACUAUAGUUUCCGAGUAAACUAACCCACUCAAGCAUUGCUCCUUUCUGGCUAACUGUUUUUCCGAACUCAAGAGCCCUCAUUCCUGUUAUGAGCUCUAUCAAGAGAAUUCCAAACCCAAACGCAUCAGUUUUCUCUGAAGACUGGCCAGUUGAAAGGUACUCUGGUGCAAUGUGCCCAACAGUGCCACGGACAGCAGUGGUGACAUGGGAAUCAGCAUGAUCAAGGAGCUUUGCAAGGCCAAAGUCACCAACGAUGGCUUCACAAUAAUCAUCCAGAAGAACAUUAGCUGCCUUCACAUCUCUGUGGAUUAUUUUUGGAUCACAUUGCUCAUGUAAAUAAAGAAGUCCCCUCGCAGCUCCAAUUGCAAUCCUCUUCCUCGUAUUCCAGUCUAGAGCUGGUUUUCCUGCCAAACCCAACUCAAUUACAAGGUAUGCUAAAUUACAGUCAAGAAUCAUUUUCAAUUUUAAUACUACAUUAUGCUUGAGACUUGUUUGGAUUUUUGGCGAGGGGACAAUAUAAUAGCUUGUCAUGUCCAGUCUUAGACUAUAACCUAUUCUACUAAUCUGUUGUAGUCUGUAAACCAAGAACUAUAGUAGUCAUAAAACCUGAAAAAGCUAACUUGGUAAACAUUUAUAAAAAAUAGGAAUUAGAUGAUGCAGAUAAUGGGUCCUCCCUCUCGGUAUUUAUCGUUUCAUAUUCAGCCCCACUGAAAAGAAAUGAAAUACAGUAAUAGCUUAUGAAGGCAGAUUGUAAAAAUGAAUUCCUACAAGAGUUAGGCCAACAUACAAUGAAGACUAUUGUCAGCUAGAAACUAUUUUGAACAGUAAAUAAUUAUUAUUAGAAAAGGAAUAAUUACUCCAAACAUGGACGGGAUCCACAGACUGGGUCAUAAUAAUCAGAUUGUGCAGUUAUUCGACAAACAAAAUAGGUAAUCAAAUUGUCCAGCAUAAGAAUUGAAUGAAAGAAGUUUUAGCAAAGUAAAGCUAGGACCAACCUCUGAGCCUGGAUGCCACACUGCCAUUAGACAUGUAAGGGUAAACAAGAAGUCUCUCAUUAGAAGUAUCACAAUAUCCAAUUAAACGAAGCAGAUUGCGGUGAACUGCCAAGCUGAUCAUCUCCAACUCAGUCCUGAAUUGUGAUUCCCCAAAACUUCCUGUCAAGUCUUUUAGCCGCUUCACCGCCACAAGAGUAUCAUCUCCUAACUUUCCCUUGUAGACAUUGCCAAAACCUCCGGUGCCUAGAAUGUUCUUGGAGCUGAAGUUAUCUGUAGCAAACUGGAGUUCCCUGAAAGUGAAGUUUCUCAGGUUACCUAGGCUUAUGAGGCCUUCUUCUUGUUUGUCUGCAAUAUACGUGUGACAACAUUAAAUCAUAUUAAAUAAACAUAUAAAAGAAAACUUCGACAUUUAGUUUGUUAGUUGUCACCAACCACUAAUAUUCAGAAUCGUUAGCCUUUUUCGUUUGUUUCUGUGCCAAAGUAGGGCUAAUGAGAGGAGUAUGAGAGUGGCAAAACUGAGGCUGAUUCCAAGUGCAAUAGCUAACUUGUUGGAUUUUUGUUCCGCUGAUUGAUGAGGCAAAAAAAGAAACAUACAUAAACAAUUGAUAAGGAAAGGAUAAAGAGCUGUGGAGAGUUACAAGGAGGGUUUGAUACCAUUUGAUGAACCCAGGGAAAAUGAAAGGGGAUCAGCAUUGACAGAUCCAGAGCAAACUUCAGUUGAACUGCUUCCACAAAUCAAUGGAUUUCCCACAAUGCUACAAUACACGUACCAAUAGGCAAAAUUAAAACUAAAUUAUAAUAAUUGAUCAGAGAGCUAUAGCAAAUAAAUCAUACUUGAAAGUUCUAGCAGGGAACUUGGGUACAGGUCCACUGAGAUUGUUAUAGGAGAAGUCCCUGAAACACCAAUUAUCAGAUUCUGAAAAUCAAAAGCAGGGUUCAGGUAAACAUGUUAGAGAAAGAGAUGGGAAAAGAAAGAAAUUCACACUCACAAGAAAGCAAGUUGAGGGAUUUUUGCUAAAGAUGCAGGAAAAGGCCCAGACAAGCUAUUAUUGUUCAGCCUCCUGCUCUCGUUACAGGCCAAAACAAACAGAAGUUCAAAUACAAAAACAUAUAAACUUCUGUUUUCCUUCCUUUCAACUCUACUAUCCUUAGCAUAUAAACAGGAAACAAGUAAUUGAAAAGGAACUUACAGGUAUUGCAAACUAUUUAACUGUCCAAAUGACGCAGGAAUUUCAUUGGAAAAACGGUUGUUGGAUAGAUCCAAAGUCUGCAGUUUGGGAAGAGUUCCAAGCUCGGGUGGGAUUUUAGCAGAUAUGUUAUUGUUUUGCAGCAACCUUCAAAAUCACACCAGCAAUUUACAACAUAAAACAAAACGCAAACUUAAACAUUGCUUAAAAAUGUCAUGUCUUCUUACACUUGGCGAAGAUUGGUGAGAUUUCCUAUCGUCCCGGACAAAGUUCCUGAUAAGGACUGACUUGGUGCUCCCCUGAGAAAAAAAAGCCCGUUAAAAUGAUGAAACAGCAAAAACAUUUUAGCUUACUUGUACGAUGCUUUCGAAACAAGCAAGCAGAAAAGAGAGAGAGAGACUAACAGGCCAAUAACAAGGUUUUCAGAAGAACAAGUGAUCAUUGCCCAGCUGCAGGGAUCGACAGAGUCUUCAUCCCAGUUAUUUAACACCCCAUGUGGAUCAUUCAAUUCUCUCCUUAUACUUAUCAAUGCUUCCACUACAAUCCCACCAGGAAACAAAAAAAAAAAGAGAGAAAAUAUCAAACCCCAUAUGAAAGAAAAAAAGGACAAAAAUUACUUUAAAACAUGUUCCUUACCUUCUUGGUUACGAGGCUCAUAUGAAAAAGAAACAGUAGCAGAAGAAAGGAAGAAGAAGAGAAGAAGAGAAAGACUCAUUUUCAUGACUCAAUAAUAGUAAUACUAGUUAAAGAUGAACAUUUUCUCUGGUUUUAUAUUUUGGGUCUCAAACCAAAACACACAAAAAAGAAAAAGAAAACCUUGUCACUCUGUGCUGCCAAGCUUCCUUUCUUGGGUUCAUAACAGAGUCCCUCCCUUUUUCUCAGUCCACAAACACAACUUUUGAAAGAAACAAUACUUUAAUUUUGUAUAUAAACAAAUAAACAAAGUAAAAGUCCAAAAGACUCUCCAUUUUCCUUUUUGUUCCUAUAAAACAAAAUAAAAUAAAAACUGAAACAGAAAAAAUCAGGUGGGUGAUACGGGUGUCAGGAAGAGAGUGUGCAGAAAUUGAGAGAGACGUGAGUACUGUAAAUUUUGUACUUACUGGACUCCACUGCCUCAGUAUGCAACGUCUUUUUUAAAAAAAAUAGUUUGAUUCACUUUUUCUCUUAUUUAUUUCACAACCAAAACAUAAAAGAAGAAAUAAAGGGAGGGAAACAAAAAUGGAGUAGGUUAUGUAUCCGUAUUAGGUUGAUAACUCAGAAAAGGAGAGAAGAAGGGUAACCAAACAUCAGAAAAGGCUGAAGAAUGCAACUGAAGAAUAUAUGGGUAAAAAAGGAAAAGAAAAAGCAACUGAAGUUGCUAAAUUUUUCCUGGAGCAAAAGGCUCCAAUCUGGAAUUAAACCUCUAGUGAGGUGAAAUACAUUUUCAACGUACUGAAGAAUGCUUUCCAAACAGCCUUGCGUUUACUAACAUUUCAGUUGCAAUUUUUUUUAGCCUAAAAAAAUCAACGCACUGAGAACCAGUUGCAUCCAAAGGAAGCCUUAGUCUACUACACAAGCAAAUUCUUCUUUUUUGCUUUGUCGUAAGUUUAAAUUUUUUUAAAUUUAAAAUUUAAUUUUUAUAUUUUAAUUUUGAGACAUUAGGUUUUUUUAAAAAAAUAAUUUAGUCUCUCCGUCAGUUUAGCUGUUAGAAAUGUUGAUGUAAUUGUUAUAUAAAAGCUAAAAUAAUUUUUUUAACUUUUAUUAUUUACAAUUUUUUAUCAAUUUGGUUCUUCGUCGAUUAAUGCAGUGUUGUUCGUACGAAGGUUGAUGGAGUAUCCAAAGUUAGAUCGGUAAAGGUUGUUAAGCAACCCUACCAGGACCAAUGAGAUACCUAUGUUAGAACUAUAUGUUGAAAAAAAAUUCAGUUCGAAAAAAUUUAAAAAUUGAGUUGAUUUUUAGAUUUAUAGCAAAAAAAAAAUCCCUGAAAUAGUACUUGUGUUUUGGACUAGACGAGUCCUAGUCGUUCCUGACUUCCAACCAAACAACAUUCUCCACUACUCUCGUACUACAAACUGCUUCAAGUGUGGGCUCAAACAAUUUCGAAUCAAACACAGAACUAUAAAUAAUUUUCUUAUUUUCAAUAAGAAAGUAAAUCUCUCUCUUAUAGAAAUCGAUAGAAUUGUUAUUUUCGAAAAAUAUAAUUUAUACUUAGAAAUAAAUUCUAACUAUUUUCGGGUAGAAUAAUAAUAUCUCAAAAGUUGUGUAUAACUUCUUGUGUUUUUAGUCUAACAUGUGUCAUCUAUUUAUAGAGAGAAAACCUAGUUGAAUUAGUAGAAUGCAUUUAAUGCCUAUUUAAUAGAAAAACAAUCACUUAGUUGAACUAAGAAAGAGAGGGGCUAAUAGGUUGUAUUUCCCCUCAUAUGGAUUUUGAUGGAGAUUCGGGCCUCUCUUGUAUUGAAUCCAAUUAUAUGUGCUUCAUAAAUUUUUAACUAAACAUUUUAUAAUUUAAUCCAACCUAAUACAUGUUUUUUAUUUCCAAAAAUAGAUAUUAUUUAAUUUUCCAAUUAAAUAAUUUUCUCAAUCUAAUUCUAAUUUCUUUAAAAUCAUGACAGCUUUGCUAUAAAAGAAUCCAUGAGAAAAUAUAUUUAAUUUCUCUAUUAAAUGGAUUCACAAUGACCAAUAAAUUUAUUUCCAUUUUCGAAUUUUAAUUAAUUAAAUAACAAUUUAAAAAACUUAAAUUAAUUUUCAAGUCAUUUCCAUACUACGUGAGAAACCACAUUCAUUUUCGAAUGUAACAUAUUUCUCUAAUAUUAUCAUUUCUGUUCAAUUGAUUUAUCAUGCAAUUCAAUUUUUAUUUCAACGAGGUAGCGAAGAGAUCGAUUGGACAUAUGUGAUUAGGGCUCAAAUGAUUUAUAAUUAAGUUUCAACUUUUCGCCUAUUAAUUAUAAAAAUCAUUUUGUCACAAAGUUAUUCCACUAUAGUAUCGUGGUUGAGCUCUUCCAAUUACAUACCAUUACGAAAGUUACUCGUCCAUUAAAAAAGGAGGUAUUGGUUUGGAAAUAACCUACUAAAAUGUUGCAUUCAAAUUAUAUAUACACAAUAUCAUAUAUGAUUUUUACAUCAUGUAUAAAUGUGCAAUAUCAUAGAUGAUUUUUACUAUCAUUAUAAUAUCAUGCAUGAAUACUAAAAACUCUAUCAUUAUAUAUGAAUUUUAUUUUUAAUCAUUUUAUUUCUCUUAAAAAUUAUUUUUAAUUAAUAAAUAAAUAUAUUCUAAUAGAUAUAUGCAACAAACGCAUGCAUAGCACGAAAUAAUAUAUAUAUCCUCCAACAAUGUAAAAAAUAAGAAAAUAAAAAACUGUGACAAUUGUUUUGUGGGAGAGUCAAAGAUUCAUGUGGGCAAAGCUCUUUCUUUUCAGCUUUUGCCUUUAAAUUUUCUCAUCUCUUUGAAGCUGUCUGUUGCUUUUUCAACAAAAUCACAAAUUAUUUGCAAAAUUAGAAAAAUUAUUAAAAAGUUUUUAUGAACUUUUAAAAGUUUUAACUUUUUUUUAUGUAUUUUUAAAGAGAAAUGACCAAAUUAACAAAAAUUAUGAAUGUUGCAAGCUAAAAACUUUAUUUUUCCUUUUGCUUAUAAUUGUCACAUUAAUAACUCUAACUACGGAAUUAAGUAAAACGAUCAAGAUUUUUAAAUAAAAGAGUACAGAGAUUAAAUUUUAAAUUUUAAAUUUUAAAAUGGUAUAGAGACCUCUAAUAUAUUUAAGCCUAAAGAAUUAUAAUUCAAAUAUUACUCGAAUAAUAUAUUAAAGAACUUAAGAAUUUGAUUCACUAAUUUUCAUUAUUUAUUCAUUUUGAUUCAAGUAAAACUAAAGUCAUUAAAAAUAUAUAGUAUUAAUAUUACUCAUAUAUUUCAAAACCUUAAUAAUUUUAAAAUUUUAAAAUUUCUAACUUAAAAUAAUGUUUAAAAUCCAAAUAAAAAAAAUCAUAUGCCAGAAUCUCCAAGCAAGUUUUAAGUUUUAGUUGAGAAGCAUUGCGGACUAACAUUAGAGGUUAAAUUCUUCUAUUAGUGUUAAUACUCACUAAAAAUCUAAUUAAUAAAUUAAUGAUUAUCAUUUAAAUCAAUAUUAAAAUUUCAAAAAUCUAAAAAUAUAAAUAUUUGGAUGAUCCAUUUAAAAAUAUGAAUUCAAUUUAACUACUACGGUUUAAUCAUAAUCGGGAAAGUAAUCAUAAUCGGGAAAGUAAAAGACUAAAUCUGAUCAAAUAAAUAUAAAAUAAAAAUCUUUUACAAAGUAAAGGAGCUAAUAACAAAGUUGGUUAAUUUAACCAACAUUCAACUUUGAAGUACCAAAACGGGAGAAAAAGCAAAGGGCAAACAACAAGCGCAAGACACUGCAAAGACAUCCCCACCGCAUCCUCUCACUCACCUUUGACAAUUAUCCUUUCACUUUCACAGACAAGGCCAAAAUAAUAUCUCAAAUACCAAUAAUGCCAAUUUUCCUUUCAUUAUUUUUUCUCCAAAGGAAAAAAAAGUCAACCGUCAAACUCACUGAGUUUGAGCCUGUCCCUGUCCCUAUCCCUGGCCCAGACUUGGGAGCAGAGGCAUCUGAUGCUGUUUUUACCUGUAGUGGUCUUAUCCCCUUAUCUACACCCCCUAUUUGGCAGAAUAAGUUAAGAUUCAAUGCCAAAAACAAGUAAAAUAAAACAUGGUAAAGGCUAUUUACAUUACAAUCCCAGAAAAUAUAUAAUCUUUACCAUCAAAGUUUUUAAGCAUAACAUUGCCACUACACCUAUUUCUUCCUCUUCAAACUUGGGUGGAUUAAAGAAUUUAAUAAAGAAUUCAUCCUCUCUAUAUAUUUCACUUUCACCUCUUUUUCCCUUCUUGUUAUCUUGGACCAGAGAGUUCCAUGGCAUAGGAAUCCAAAGAAUGUUCAUCAUCAUCAUCAUCCAUUCCUGUGCCCAACUUGUUGCUUGAUUCAUCAUCAUAACUUUUUUCAUCAUGUUUUGAUCCAGUGGUAGGGGGCGCCUUACUUUUGUUACUGAAGUUGUUAGGAAAGUGGUUCAUGGUGGAAUUGCUAUGAUCAUGAGAUGCUGCCCAUUUCUCAGCAAGCCCAUCGCCUUCAAGCAUCCGGACCACCUCGGACAUUUUUGGGCGGUGGGCUGGAAGGUACUGAGUGCAUAGCAAAGCCACUUGGAGUAUCUCCCCCACUUCAAUCCUGUCAUAGUUGUUCCCUAGCUCUCUGUCCACCAAUACUUCCUCUUUCUUCUCUUUUUGUAUUUUCUUCACCUGUAACAACAAUAUUCCAAAUGUUCAUCAGCUUACUUCAUCUCUCUCUUUUUAUGCUUCAAAAAUUAGCAUGAAAAGGUAAUGUAGUCAAAUGCAUUUAGAUAGAAAUCCACUGAUCAAUACCGGGUUUCUUUGAAAAUCUAGUAUACCUAUGAAAUUGGUGAUCAUGCAAAACAACCGAGUUAAUACUAAUAGGAAGCAAGAGUUUAAGAUUACUAUAGUUUCCGAGUAAACUAACCCACUCAAGCAUUGCUCCUUUCUGGCUAACUGUUUUUCCGAACUCAAGAGCCCUCAUUCCUGUUAUGAGCUCUAUCAAGAGAAUUCCAAACCCAAACGCAUCAGUUUUCUCUGAAGACUGGCCAGUUGAAAGGUACUCUGGUGCAAUGUGCCCAACAGUGCCACGGACAGCAGUGGUGACAUGGGAAUCAGCAUGAUCAAGGAGCUUUGCAAGGCCAAAGUCACCAACGAUGGCUUCACAAUAAUCAUCCAGAAGAACAUUAGCUGCCUUCACAUCUCUGU
rnacentral:lncRNA from 1 species